CAGUGAUAAACUGGAGGAAGGUGGGGAUGACGUCAAGUCAUCAUGGCCCUUACGACCAGGGCUACACACGUGCUACAAUGGCGCAUACAAAGAGAAGCGACCUCGCGAGAGCAAGCGGACCUCAUAAAGUGCGUCGUAGUCCGGAUUGGAGUCUGCAACUCGACUCCAUGAAGUCGGAAUCGCUAGUAAUCGUGGAUCAGAAUGCCACGGUGAAUACGUUCCCGGGCCUUGUACACACCGCCCGUCACACCAUGGGAGUGGGUUGCAAAAGAAGUAGGUAGCUUAACCUUCGG
rnacentral:rRNA from 2 species